AGAGUUUGAUCCUGGCUCAGGACGAACGCUGGCGGCGUGCCUAAUACAUGCAAGUCGAGCGAGCAGAACCAGCAGAUUUACUUCGGUAAUGACGCUGGGGACGCGAGCGGCGGAUGGGUGAGUAACACGUGGGGAACCUGCCCCAUAGUCUAGGAUACCACUUGGAAACAGGUGCUAAUACCGGAUAAUAAAGCAGAUCGCAUGAUCAGCUUAUAAAAGGCGGCGUAAGCUGUCGCUAUGGGAUGGCCCCGCGGUGCAUUAGCUAGUUGGUAAGGUAACGGCUUACCAAGGCAAUGAUGCAUAGCCGAGUUGAGAGACUGAACGGCCACAUUGGGACUGAGACACGGCCCAAACUCCUACGGGAGGCAGCAGUAGGGAAUCUUCCACAAUGGACGCAAGUCUGAUGGAGCAACGCCGCGUGAGUGAAGAAGGUUUUCGGAUCGUAAAGCUCUGUUGUUGGUGAAGAAGGAUAGAGGUAGUAACUGGCCUUUAUUUGACGGUAAUCAACCAGAAAGUCACGGCUAACUACGUGCCAGCAGCCGCGGUAAUACGUAGGUGGCAAGCGUUGUCCGGAUUUAUUGGGCGUAAAGCGAGCGCAGGCGGAAGAAUAAGUCUGAUGUGAAAGCCCUCGGCUUAACCGAGGAAUUGCAUCGGAAACUGUUUUUCUUGAGUGCAGAAGAGGAGAGUGGAACUCCAUGUGUAGCGGUGGAAUGCGUAGAUAUAUGGAAGAACACCAGUGGCGAAGGCGGCUCUCUGGUCUGCAACUGACGCUGAGGCUCGAAAGCAUGGGUAGCGAACAGGAUUAGAUACCCUGGUAGUCCAUGCCGUAAACGAUGAGUGCUAAGUGUUGGGAGGUUUCCGCCUCUCAGUGCUGCAGCUAACGCAUUAAGCACUCCGCCUGGGGAGUACGACCGCAAGGUUGAAACUCAAAGGAAUUGACGGGGGCCCGCACAAGCGGUGGAGCAUGUGGUUUAAUUCGAAGCAACGCGAAGAACCUUACCAGGUCUUGACAUCUAGUGCCAUCCUAAGAGAUUAGGAGUUCCCUUCGGGGACGCUAAGACAGGUGGUGCAUGGCUGUCGUCAGCUCGUGUCGUGAGAUGUUGGGUUAAGUCCCGCAACGAGCGCAACCCCUAUUAUUAGUUGCCAGCAUUAAGUUGGGCACUCUAAUGAGACUGCCGGUGACAAACCGGAGGAAGGUGGGGAUGACGUCAAGUCAUCAUGCCCCUUAUGACCUGGGCUGCACACGUGCUACAAUGGGCAGUACAACGAGAAGCGAGCCUGCGAAGGCAAGCGAAUCUCUGAAAGCUGUUCUCAGUUCGGACUGCAGUCUGCAACUCGACUGCACGAAGCUGGAAUCGCUAGUAAUCGCGGAUCAGAACGCCGCGGUGAAUACGUUCCCGGGCCUUGUACACACCGCCCGUCACACCAUGGAAGUCUGCAAUGCCCAAAGCCGGUGGCCUAACCUUCGGGAAGGAGCCGUCUAAGGCAGGGCAGAUGACUGGGGUGAAGUCGUAACAAGGUAGCCGUAGGAGAACCUGCGGCUGGAUCACCUCCUU
rnacentral:rRNA from 1 species